CGAACGGCAGCACGGGUGCUUGCACCUGGUGGCGAGUGGCGAACGGGUGAGUAAUACAUCGGAACAUGUCCUGUAGUGGGGGAUAGCCCGGCGAAAGCCGGAUUAAUACCGCAUACGAUCUACGGUUGAAAGCGGGGGACCUUCGGGCCUCGCGCUAUAGGGUUGGCCGAUGGCUGAUUAGCUAGUUGGUGGGGUAAAGGCCUACCAAGGCGACGAUCAGUAGCUGGUCUGAGAGGACGACCAGCCACACUGGGACUGAGACACGGCCCAGACUCCUACGGGAGGCAGCAGUGGGGAAUUUUGGACAAUGGGCGAAAGCCUGAUCCAGCAAUGCCGCGUGUGUGAAGAAGGCCUUCGGGUUGUAAAGCACUUUUGUCCGGAAAGAAAUCCUUGGUUCUAAUAUAGCCGGGGGAUGACGGUACCGGAAGAAUAAGCACCGGCUAACUACGUGCCAGCAGCCGCGGUAAUACGUAGGGUGCGAGCGUUAAUCGGAAUUACUGGGCGUAAAGCGUGCGCAGGCGGUUUGCUAAGACCGAUGUGAAAUCCCCGGGCUCAACCUGGGAACUGCAUUGGUGACUGGCAGGCUGGAGUAUGGCAGAGGGGGGUAGAAUUCCACGUGUAGCAGUGAAAUGCGUAGAGAUGUGGAGGAAUACCGAUGGCGAAGGCAGCCCCCUGGGCCAAUACUGACGCUCAUGCACGA
rnacentral:rRNA from 1 species